CUAGGUCCACGAAGACACACGACACGGACGGCGACUGAGAUGGACCGGACGGACGGAGUUCCAGCGGGCUAGGGGACGAAGAUACCGGCUAGGAAAGAGCCGGUAGUCAGCCGGUGAAGGUCCCAGCCCGCGCCCGUCCACGAAGACAAACAAGACACGGACGGCACGACACGGACGGCGACUGAGAUGGACGGCGACAUAUGUGGACGGGUUGGACGGUGUUCGGUUCCAGCGGGCUAGGGGACGAAUAUACCGGCAAGGAGACAGCCGGUGAGGUCCCAGCCCGCGCCCGUCCACGAAGACAAACAAGACACGGAAGCGGCGACAUAGCGACAUAUGUGGACGGGACGGACCGACAUAAGUGGACGGGACGAACGGAGUGGAGUUCCAGCGGGCUAGGGGACGAAGAUACCGGCUAGGAAAGAGCCGGUAAGGUCCCAGCCCGCGCCCGUCCACGAAGACACACGACACGGACGGCGACUGAGAUGGAC
rnacentral:lncRNA from 1 species